rnacentral:lncRNA from 1 species
UUUUACAGAGUCUCUGGAAAUGGUCAUUCAAGUAAACUGCUUAGACACCAUGUGUGAGUACUGGAGUCUACUUUUCCCUAAUGAACUGAGUCAAACAUGAAGAGAGUCUCACAGAUAAAUUUCCUGCUGUCAGUGGCACAUCAGGGAAGAUUAAUAAGAGAUGAAAGAAUAACUCCUCCUCACAAGAAACAGCAGAUGUUAUUCGGUGCUUGCAAAGCAAAGGAGAUGGGACUGACAGAUGAUGCACUCAUCUUUACUGAGUGUGAUUCCUGACACCUAGCAUGGUCUUCAUUCACAAAGUACCAACAACCAACUUCGUAUUCAAAGAUGUGCCUAUAUCAAGAGAGACUGUGAUGGAGUCUUGUAACAAUUCAAGCACAAAAGCAAC